GACGAACGCUGGCGGUAUGCUUCAUACAUGCAAGUCGAGCGAACAGAUGAAGUGCUUGCACUUCUGACGUUAGCGGCGAACGGGUGAGUAACACGUAAGGAAUCUACCUAUAAGCGGGGGAUAACAUUCGGAAACGGGUGCUAAUACCGCAUAAUAUCUUCUUCCGCAUGGAAGAAGAUUGAAAGACGGCUCUGCUGUCACUUAUAGAUGACCUUGCGGUGCAUUAGUUAGUUGGUGGGGUAAUGGCCUACCAAGACAAUGAUGCAUAGCCGACCUGAGAGGGUGAUCGGCCACAUUGGGACUGAGACACGGCCCAAACUCCUACGGGAGGCAGCAGUAGGGAAUCUUCCGCAAUGGGCGAAAGCCUGACGGAGCAAUGCCGCGUGAGUGAAGAAGGCCUUCGGGUCGUAAAACUCUGUUAUAAGAGAAGAACAAAUUGUAGAGUAACUGCUACAGUCUUGACGGUAUCUUUUCAGAAAGCCACGGCUAACUACGUGCCAGCAGCCGCGGUAA
rnacentral:rRNA from 1 species